GGCUGUGGAGCUGGGUGAGGAGCCGCUGCCGCCGGCUGCGGGCGCUGCGGGUCCGGCACUAGCUGGCCGGGUUGGCCCGGUGCCUGAGGCGACUCUGACGACACCGGUAGCAGCAGCUCCUGCUCCCUGCCUCCCUAGGGAAACCCUCUCCACUUGCACUUUGAAACUUUAAGAGACUACCGAGUAUGAACUCAGGACUCUGAAGAUGUUGCAUUUUGGAAAGGGACAAGACCCGUCUAACAGUGCAUUCCAAAAGCUACACUACUCACUCCUGCUCACCUUCUCAGUCCUCAAAGAAAAGCAGAAUGUUCCUACGACAUCGACAUCAUCACGAUCUCAAUGUAAAUGGCAGCUGCUACUCGAGUGGAGAAGCCUCAGAAUGUGGUACCAGGCUGGAGGUCAGCAGAGCUCGAGGAACUGGAGCCCUUCAAUCAAGCAGACUCUGAGGUCCUCCGACAGAGCAGACAGCGGAUGGGCUGGGGAGCCUCGGCUGGCAUCCUCAAUUACUGCAAUUAAUUGCCUUAAUGAUCUCUAUGUGCACUCUUCUACUGGCCCGCACAGCUUGGAGACUUGCAAUGACUUGCAACCCCUCUCUGUCCACAGUAGGACCAGAAUGGCUCUGUCUUGCAGUUUCCCUGGAUGUGCUUGAUGAUGCAAUACAGAAACUGCAGGUCCACUUCAUAACGCACAGCUGUCUUGCAGUAUCCUUGCUGGAACAAAAUUCAUAUGCUACAACUCUCUGAGUUUUUGUAUCUUUCCUGAAUUGUCUUCUCUCCUUGGAGUGAAGACACUGUCUCAGGGAUUUUGGCAAUGGGCCGCUAGAAAACCAUACAGCUGAGAAAAAUGUGCAUUCCGCAACGGGGACCUCCAGCUGCUGGCUGUUUCAAGGUGAGCAGGGCAGGGAGCUGCUCUCAGAGAAGGAGCUUCAACCUCAUCAAUCUGAUACAUGUCCCACCAGAACGUAUCAAAACUAACACUGCUGUUAAGAACAACUUCAAUCUGUAUUACGGUGACCAGGAAACACGUUCCAGCUUGACUGAAACUUCUCACUUAAAGUAAUUAUCUUCAGCAAAAGAUGUUUCUUUUUUACUUUCUAGAGGGGGAAAAAAAGAGUUCUUAUUACCAGUUCAUUAUGGAGUGUACUCACUUUGCCUUCAAAAUGGUCUCUGAAGUUUAGAUUUCUGGAAAUUCGGUUGGCUUUUAUAAUUCUCUCUGUCUCAAGAAGUGUCUCUUUCUUGCAAGUAUUUCUUUCUGGGUUGGCCUGUUCAGGCGCAGGGCAUACUUGCAGCCUAUGCUAAGAGCAGGGAUGAUUUUAUAUAGGGAUUGUGAUUUUGAUAAGAGGGUUUUUUUCUCUAUACUUGAUAAUGUUUGACGAAGUGGCAGUAAAAUGCCCAAGCGUUGCCUAGUUGCAUUCUGUGAAGUGCACUGCCUGCAAACAGGUAACUGCAGCCUGGUGACAGGAGGUAAUUCAUCUAGUUUGUACCAAAACGUGUACAGUUGGCAUGAAAUAAUGGAGAGGCCCAAAAGAAAAUGCAAAGCUGUGUUAAGUGAAGCACCACCACUUAACUGGGUGCAGGUUUGUUACUGGUUGUGUGGACGAAGGACUUUGCUGCUUCUUCAGUUUGGUUUGAAAAAUAGGAAAAUUGUCGAAGCCCCCAGAUCUAUCAUUCCUAGUUUUCUGGAAUAUAGGAGCAAAUAAUGGAAACGUACUCAAUUUUCUGUAUUAAAAUUUGUUGUAUUUUGUAAUUAUA